rnacentral:piRNA from 1 species
UGCUAAAUCUGCAGGUGACUUGACUCCCAGC